rnacentral:rRNA from 1 species
AUUGAACGCUGGCGGCAUGCUUUACACAUGCAAGUCGAACGGUAACAGGUCUUCGGAUGCUGACGAGUGGCGAACGGGUGAGUAAUACAUCGGAACGUGCCUGGUAGUGGGGGAUAACUACUCGAAAGAGUAGCUAAUACCGCAUGAGAUCUACGGAUGAAAGCAGGGGACCUUCGGGCCUUGUGCUACUAGAGCGGCUGAUGGCAGAUUAGGUAGUUGGUGGGGUAAAGGCUUACCAAGCCUGCGAUCUGUAGCUGGUCUGAGAGGAUGACCAGCCACACUGGAACUGAGACACGGUCCAGACUCCUACGGGAGGCAGCAGUGGGGAAUAUUGCACAAUGGGCGCAAGCCUGAUGCAGCCAUGCCGCGUGUAUGAAGAAGGCCUUCGGGUUGUAAAGUACUUUCAGCGGGGAGGAAGGCGAUGUGGUUAAUAACCGCGUCGAUUGACGUUACCCGCAGAAGAAGCACCGGCUAACUCCGUGCCAGCCGCCGCAGUAA